rnacentral:rRNA from 1 species
GACGAACGCUGGCGGCGUGCUUAACACAUGCAAGUCGAACGGAAAGGCCCUGCUUUUGUGGGGUGCUCGAGUGGCGAACGGGUGAGUAACACGUGAGUAACCUGCCCUUGACUUUGGGAUAACUUCAGGAAACUGGGGCUAAUACCGGAUAGGAGCUCCUGCUGCAUGGUGGGGGUUGGAAAGUUUCGGCGGUUGGGGAUGGACUCGCGGCUUAUCAGCUUGUUGGUGGGGUAGUGGCUUACCAAGGCUUUGACGGGUAGCCGGCCUGAGAGGGUGACCGGCCACAUUGGGCCUGAGCUACGGCCCAGACUCCUACGGGAGGCAGCAGUGGGGAAUAUUGCACAAUGGGCGGAAGCCUGAUGCAGCAACGCCGCGUGCGGGAUGACGGCCUUCGGGUUGUAAACCGCUUUCGCCUGUGACGAAGCGUGAGUGACGGUAAUGGGUAAAGAAGCACCGGCUAACUACGUG